UGGGGAAUUUUGCACAAUGGGCGCAAGCCUGAUGCAGCGACGCCGCGUGAGGGAUGAAGGCCUUCGGGUUGUAAACCUUUUUCGCUCAUGGUCAAGCCGCAGCUUUGGGUUGUGGUGAGGGUAGUGGGUAAAGAAGCGCCGGCUAACUACGUGCCAGCAGCCGCGGUAAUACGUAGGGCGCGAGCGUUGUCCGGAAUUAUUGGGCGUAAAGGGUUCGCAGGCGGAAUAACAAGUCAGAUGUGAAAGGCAUGGGCUCAACCCAUGUAAGCAUUUGAAACUGUAAUUCUUGAGAAGUGGAGAGGUAAGUGGAAUUCCUAGUGUAGCGGUGAAAUGCGUAGAUAUUAGGAGGAAUACCUGUGGCGAAGGCGACUUACUGGACACAAAUCUGACGCUGAGGAACGAAAGCGUGGGUAGCAAACAGG
rnacentral:rRNA from 1 species